rnacentral:misc_RNA from 1 species
UGGGGCACUGAAGAUGAUGAGACCCAGAGUUACCACAAUGGCAAUUCAGACCCUCGAGGAUUCGGUCAUAUUGGAAUUGCUGUUCCUGAUGUAUACAGUGCUUGUAAAAGGUUUGAAGAACUGGGAGUCAAAUUUGUGAAGAAACCUGAUGAUGGUAAAAUGAAAGGCCUGGCAUUUAUUCAAGAUCCUGAUGGCUACUGGAUUGAA